rnacentral:snRNA from 1 species
AUCACUUCUUGGCCUUUUGGCUAAGAUCAAGUGUAAUAAUAUAUCAGUUCAUGCAUUGCUUUUAUGACCCAAGAAUUAUUCUGGAAGACAAUAAUCUCUUCAGUCUAGUGUCCACUUUUUAUGUAGUUGUAGUUUUGCCAUAUUAUGGGUCUUCAUA